rnacentral:tRNA from 2 species
UGGAUAGCUCAGACGGGUAGAGCAGUGGAUUUUGUUUCCACGUGUCGCGGGUUCGAAUCCCGCUCCAA